GUUUCCAAAGUGUAGUGGUCAUCAUGUCUGCUUUACAGGCAGAAAGUCCUUGGUUCAAUCCCGCAGUGGAACCA